ensembl:lncRNA
AUGAAUGACUCAAGUGAAGAAACACGAGUGAAACCACUAUUUCAAAGGAAAAAGAAGAGGAAGAGGGGACAUCUUGAACAUUCGCAGUGGAACUUGAGUGCGCAUCUGCGCAAAGUCUCUCCAAAGUCACUUGGUAACUUGCGCGCACCACUGCAGCUCCAUUCUCAAGCAGUUUUGGGGGACUGGUGUAAUGAGGAAAAGCAGAUGAUCGGGAUGACGGCGGUGGUGUUGUUUAGCCGUCACGGCGAGGAGAGACUGUCGUCCGGCAGAAUGGCGUCAGACGUGGGCCGCAGCACUUGAGCAGGUGCAGAGCAGAUUUUGCAUGGAAAGGGUGAAAGUGUGCAGCUGCAGCAGUGAUCCUGAAGCUCAGACGUAUGUCAAUAUUUUGCUGUCGUACCUUAAGAUUAAAGGCAAAUUUCCUCUGGAGCUUCAUUUGACAUUUACUGGGCUUUUGCAUUGUCUGACUAUUUAUAUCACAGCAGAAACAUACCUUUACAGCACUGCCGUAGAAUUACAGUGUCUUAUUUAGCUCGAAAGCAUGUGAAAUAGCACUUUUUUUAAUUGCAGGUGUAUUAUUCAACGUCAGUAAUUUGCAUCACAAUGUUUGACAUGAAACUUGAAAUAAAAUCAGGAACUAGCUCUAUUUUAGAUGUAUG